rfam:Pan troglodytes isolate Yerkes chimp pedigree #C0471 (Clint) chromosome 12, whole genome shotgun sequence.
GCCGGGCAUGGUGGCUCAUGCCUGUAAUCCCAGCACUUUGGGAGGCUGAGGUGGGUGGAUCACUUGAGGCUAGGAGCUCCAGACCAGCCUGGCCAACAUGGUGAGACCCCCCUCUU